CCCCUUUUCCCGCAACUUCCGUGACGACUUCACCACUACAUCCAUGCCACCGGCGACUUCAUGGCCUCCCCAUUCAGCCUCUCCUUCCCAAGACAAAGAUGGUUCCAGGGAGGAAGGGAUUUAAUGCACAAGGGAACCCAGCAGGACUGAUUACUCUUCACCUCCUCAAGGAAAGCAGAAGUUCAGGUGCAAUUCAAGGAUGUUCCUGAUGACAUUUUAGAAUGAUAUGGGCUGUCAUAUUGAUAGCUUUAUUGUUGUGGUCACAUACACAUUUAAUUGAAAAUGGGCUUGUCACAGGUAGAACUACUGAUGUUCUUGCUGUUGCCAACACAGUGGCAGAAUUGCUUCAGAAUCAUUGUUGACUCCCCCUAAGCAUAUAUAUUUGAAAGAUGUUAGAAGUGGUGACCUAACUAAGUAUUUCCUUUCUCAUUUUUUGGCGUCUAAUUAUGUGUUCAUUUCAUUACUGAAGCAAUUCAAAAUAUGGAUGUUACUUAAUCAAUUCAGAAAGUUGCUGAUGCUUAUGAUUGCAAAGUUCUGGAAACACUUGCAAGCAUUAUGUUUCUGCUGGAAUUUGCUCUAGGUAUUUUCCUGCACAAGUUCUAUGGUUUUGUUCUUAGCUAACACUACAAGUGUGGAUGAAUCUGGGAAGCAGCAUUUCCUUGAUGCAUCAGUUGCUUACAAGCGUGUAGUCCUGAACGACAUCGAAUACCUUGCUAGGUUUGGGUACUCCAAGGAGCAGGAUCUCUGGAAUAGUAGACUCUCCUUAUGCAGUGUCAACUCUUGACAUCCCUACAACAAUAUUUGAUCAGGAUGAUAUGGAGCAAUGGUGGCAGCACUAGUUGAAGAUGAUCAGCUUGUGAAGUCUUUUACACAAGUUGUUUUCCACGUUUUGUCGAGCUCAAGUAAAUUCCUUCACAAUGUUGGCCUUCAGUAUGUCUCCAAGACAAGCUUAGUUUCAUCAAAAGUGCAAGAACUCUAAUCUCAACUAGAGACUAAGACAAGAAAAACGAUAGACUUUGGCGAAAAUGGAAACCUUGAAGGCGUCACAAGAAUUUGCAGCCACUGUAGCUAAUCAACCAAUUGAGGUCAAGGCGUCACAAGAAUUUGCAGCCACUGUAGCUAAUCAACCAAUUGAGGUCGAAGAUUUUAAGAAGUUGCUAAUAGAAAAUAAUACUCGGUCGAAGAUUUAAAGAUAGACUCUUAAUGUUUGAUGAAAUUAUAUGCACAAUUUGGAUUGCAUUCAAGUGUACGUUGAUUUUUAUUAAUUGGUGAUGAAAUAAAAAUGUCAUAGUUUGUUUGA